CCUACGGGAGGCAGCAGUGGGGAAUAUUGGGCAAUGGAGGAAACUCUGACCCAGCAACGCCGCGUGAAUGAUGAAGGUCUUCGGAUUGUAAAGUUCUUUUCUAAGGGAAGAAGAAAGUGACGGUAUCUAACGAAUAAGCACCGGCUAACUCCGUGCCAGCAGCCGCGGUAAUACGGAGGGUGCAAGCGUUACUCGGAAUCACUGGGCGUAAGGAGCGCGUAGGCGGGAUAGCAAGUCAGAUGUGAAAUCCUAUGGCUUAACCAUAGAACUGCAUUUGAAACUAUUGUUCUAGAGUAUGGGAGAGGUAGGUGGAAUUCUUGGUGUAGGGGUAAAAUCCGUAGAGAUCAAGAGGAAUACUCAUUGCGAAGGCGACCUGCUAGAACAUAACUGACGCUGAUGCGCGAAAGCGUGGGGAGCAAACAGGAUUAGAUACCCCUGUAGUC
rnacentral:rRNA from 1 species